UCGCGACCCAGGUCAGGCGGGAUUUCCCGCUGAGUUUAAGCAUAUCAAUAAGCGGAGGA
rnacentral:rRNA from 1 species